rnacentral:lncRNA from 8 species
GCUCUGUCCAUUGUGCUGACACAGUGCAGCAGAGAUACAGAUUUUGUGCCAACCUGUCACUCAAUCGUUAUAACUUUUAAAAUGUUUUUAUAUUGAGACAUUACAACAAAAACUGAGGGGGCACAAGUUUCAACUGAGGGGGCUAAUCCCCCUUUUGACUAAUCGUGGAACCGGGCCAGCUACAGUAUAGAGUAUAUUUUUUAUUUGAAAAAUUAUUUCUCACUGAUAUGAAAGAUACGUUUCGAAAACCGGUUUGAACGCGAUUAUUAUUUACUUUUCUAAACGUUAAAACAGAGCGUCGAAUGUUUGUUUACAUUGAGACAAAUGCGGGUGUAACACCUGAACCCCUGAAAACCAACAUACAGAGAAGGGUUUUCGAGAGCUAACGUUAGCAUACUGUAGUUAUCAGCUGAUUUAGUAGUCACACCAUGAUUAACUGUAUAUGGCAAUAAGGACGACGACAGUCAUUAAAACCAAAUGUAUAUACCGUUACUGUAUAGGUUAUUGGAUGAUCUAGACGACUUAAAAAUGUAAAAUAAACAAAAAUCCUCUAUCAAUUUUAGCUAGCUAGGUACAUUACCUUGAUUUGUUUCCGGAUGUGCGGAUGGGAUGUUGCGAAUCUUUGUUUCACUACGAACAAGUAAAUAGAGGGCACCGUAUCUCAAGACAUGACUGGAGAGAAACACUGUUUGGAGCACUGUACCUAGUCAAUUCACUUUGCUGUUUAAUGUAUGCAACUUGCUACAAUGAGUUCAGAUUCGGUUAUAUUGUUGGAGACGGUGACAUUUUCUGCUGAAAACCACCAAGAUCAACGGACUAAAGACCCCAAAGAAACCAACUAUCCAAUAGGCACCGUAGCCUCUCCCUAUUACCUAUCAAUGAUGUAGCUAUAUAAAAAUCAUUCGUACUAAUGUGGUGGAAAACUGGAUUUUUUAAAGCAAAUACCAAGUUGGCAGCAUCCAGCACUCACCAUGUUUCUUUCCUUUAUCCUGAAGAUCCUCUUUUCACCAUUUAGAUGCACCAGGUGUGGACCAAAGACUCAAAAGAAAGGAAAACAAACCCAAAACACAAAGGAGAGGACGAAAGAGGUGUCCGGUGGAUGGCUGUCAAGUCACCGUCAUUCACCUACCUCGUCACCUGCGUUUUUUAUGUCAAAUGUUUCCGGAGGAGAGGACUUACCUGUUCCAGUGGAUGUCUUUCCAUCUUCUGAGGAUUCAACUGACAACGAGAGCCCACAAACACACAGAGGCGAGGACUUACACAUCCCAGCGGAUGUCUUUCCAUCUUCUGAAGUGUCUUUCUACAACAACAGCCCCAUAACAAAUGAAAACACACCACAGAUACAGUCAACAUCAGAAGUCUUCAUUCAACCUGAACAGUAAACAGAGGAGAGGACGAAAGAGGUGUCCGGUGGAUGGCUGCCAGGUCACCGUCAUUCACCUUCCUCAUCACCUGCGGCAGGUUCAAGAGUGGGGCUUCCCUAUGGCUCAGUUGGUAGAGCAUGGUGUUUGCAACGCCAGCAUGGUGCGUGCAACGCCAGGGUUGUGGGUUCGAUUCCCACGGGGGGCCAGUACAAAAAAACAAAAUGCAUGAAAUGUAUGCAUUCACUACUGUAAGUCGCUCUGGAUAAGAGCGUCUGCUAAAUGACAAAAUGUAAAAAUGGGGCAGAGAGGAUUCACAGUCUGCAGUGAACACAUUCGGGCCUCAGAGCACCAAGCAGACAUGGUGGCAGCAGCAAGGCUAAGAACAACUAUCACUCCAGGCCUUUCCCCAUGACAGGCUGUCAUGCAGUGGUCAAAAGUCUGCCAGCCCACCUGAGAAAGCAACACAAGCUUGACAAUAACUCUCCUCUAUACAGAGAGCUUCUUACAGCAUCACAGAAGAGAAACAAGGUCAAAUGUCAAUGAAUUAAUUUUAUGAUGUCUACUGUGAAUAAUUAUUCUACCUGAUGUAUUGAAGUUUAAUGAGAAAUAUGUAAUUGAAUUGGGACAUGAUUGAACAAGAGAAUAUUUGGGAAAGGAAUAAAGAAAGCGCUAGAACUGCCACACAGCUCGGCAAACUUCGAUGUCCGUUUUCCUUUAACUACAGCUGGCCGACUCAGACACCCUUUCUGAGGCCUGUAACAGAUACAGCAUAGAAAGACCAGCAUCAAUUCAUAUCCGAAGUGGUCUCACUCAUUUACACACAGACCUUUUUUGUAGGAUGUAAACCUUAUGUAUGUCCAGUGGUGUAAAGUACUUAAGUAAAAAUACUUUAAAGUACUAGGCAUUCCCUGUGGCUCAGUUGGUAGAGCAUGGUGUGUGCAACACCAGGGUUGUGGGUUUGAUUCCCACGGGGGGCCAGUACAAAAAAAAAAAAUGCAUGAAAUGAAAUGUAUGCAUUCAUUACUGUAAAUCGCUCUGGAUAAGAGCGUCUGCUAAAAUGUAAAAUGUACUACUUAAGUAGUUUUUUGGGUAUCUGUACUUAACUUUAUUAUUUAUAUUUUUGAAAACUUUUACUCCACUACAUUUCCCUGACACCCAAAAGUACUCGUUACAUUUUGAAUGCUUAGCAGGACAGGAAAAUUGUUUAAUUCACACACUUAUCAAGAGAACCUCCAUGGUCAUCCCUACUGCCUCUGAUCUGGCAGACUCACUAAACACAAAUGCUUAGUUUGUAAGUUAUGUCUGACUGUUGAAGUGUGCCCCUGGCUUUCUGUAUAAAACAUUUUUUUUAAACAUUGUGCCGUCUAAGUUGAUUAAUAUAAGGAAUUUGAAAUUAUUUAUACUUUUACUUUUAAUUUUGAUUCCUAAGUAUAUUUAAAACCAAAUACUUUUAGACUUUUAUUCAAGUAGUAUUUUGCUGGGUGACUUUCACUUUUACUUGAGUCAUUUUAAGGUAUCUUUACUUUCACUCAAGUAUGACAAUUGGGUACUUUUAAACCACUGCAGACAUAUUUGUUUCUAGAAAACCAUAGAAUGCGAAUGGCGAUGUCAAAAUUGAUGAGCAAGAAAUUAGCUAAACUCAGCAAAAAAAUAAACGUCCUCUCACUGUCAACUGCGUUUAUUUUCAGCAAACUUAACAUGUGUAAAUAUUUGUAUGAACAAAACAAGAUUCAACAACUGAGACAUAAACUGAACAAGUUCC